AUUGAACGCUGGCGGCAGGCCUAACACAUGCAAGUCGAGCGAGCGGCGGACGAGUGAGUACUGUAAGGGGACUGCCCGAGAGAGGGGGAUAACUACUGGAAACGGUAGCAAAUAACGCAUACAAUCGGAAAACACAUAUGGGAUUAGCUAGUAGGUGAGGUAAUGGCUCACCUAGGCGAAGAUCCCUAGCUGGUCUGAGAGGAUGAUCAGCCACACUUGGACUGAGACACGGCCCAGACUCGUACGGAGGCAGCAGUGGGGAAUAUUGCACAAUGGGCGCAAGCCUGAUGCAGCCAUGCCGCGUGUAUGAAGAAGGCCCUAGGGUUGUAAAGUACUUUCAGUCGGGAGGCGUUACCGACAGAAGAAGCACCGGCUAACUCCGUGCCAGCAGCCGCGGUAAUUC
rnacentral:rRNA from 1 species